rnacentral:rRNA from 1 species
GAGGUUAAGCCCGAUGAACCUGAAUAUCCGUUAUGGAAAAUUCAUCACUAAUACUGUAAUAUUAAUAAUAUCAUAGGAAUAGUGUGCAAUUUUUCCAUAUAAGGACAUUGUAAUCUGUUAAUGUAAUAAAUAUUUAUUAAAAGAUCUUAUACUUAAGUUUAUUCAAAUUAGUUAUUUUCGGAUUUCUAACAUAGAAUAAAUGUAUUUGAUUUAAUAAAUCAUUGACAGAUUUAUUUGUAUAUAGUGCUUAAAUUUUGAAAAGAAUUUUACAAUARUAUGAUAAUUUUAUUUAUUAUAUUUAUUGUAUGCGCUUAUAUGAUUCACAAUGCGAUAGAUUCAGGAUACCUUCGGGACCCGUCUUGAAACACGGACCAAGGAGUCUAACAUAUGUGCAAGUCAUUGGGUAUUUUUAAUAAAACCCAAUGGCAUAAUUAACUUAACUGUUUUUUAAUGGGAUUAGUUUAUAUUUUAUUAUGAAAUAUGAAUUCAAUCCCGGGGCGUUCUAUACAGUUAUGCAUAAUGAUAUUUAUAUUAUUUAUGCCUCUAACU